UACGAAGGGGGCUAGCGUUGCUCGGAAUCACUGGGCGUAAAGGGUGCGUAGGCGGGUCUUUAAGUCAGGGGUGAAAUCCCGGGGCUCAACCUCGGAACUGCCUUUGAUACUGCGGGUCUUGAGUCCGAUAGAGGUGGGUGGAAUUCCUAGUGUAGAGGUGAAAUUCGUAGAUAUUAGGAAGAACACCGGUGGCGAAGGCGGCCCACUGGAUCGGUACUGACGCUGAGGUGCGAAAGCGUGGGGAGCAAACAGG
rnacentral:rRNA from 1 species